rfam:Candidatus Symbiobacter mobilis CR, complete genome.
UACUUCGCGAGAAGUAGUCUGGAGGAAGCCCGAGAGCAAAAGUGCGAGACGACGAACAGGAACCGCAUAGAAGGCCCAGAGUGCCGAGGCGAGCUGGCACAGGACGGCAAAGCCCAUCGAACUGCUUGAAGACGUGCUGGACAGCGACAACCUGGCGCGUGCGUGGAAACGGGU